rnacentral:rRNA from 1 species
UAACAAGGUUUCCGUAGGUGAACCUGCGGAAGGAUCAUUACCUAGAGUUUGUGGGCUUUGCCUGCUAUCUCUUACCCAUGUCUUUUGAGUACUUACGUUUCCUCGGUGGGCUCGCCCGCCGAUUGGACAAAAUUAAACCCUUUGCAGUUGCAAUCAGCGUCUGAAAAACAUAAUAGUUACAACUUUCAACAACGGAUCUCUUGGUUCUGGCAUCGAUGAAGAACGCAGCGAAAUGCGAUAAGUAGUGUGAAUUGCAGAAUUCAGUGAAUCAUCGAAUCUUUGAACGCACAUUGCGCCCCUUGGUAUUCCAUGGGGCAUGCCUGUUCGAGCGUCAUUUGUACCUUCAAGCUUUGCUUGGUGUUGGGUGUUUGUCUCGCCUCUGCGUGUAGACUCGCCUCAAAACAAUUGGCAGCCGGCGUAUUGAUUUCGGAGCGCAGUACAUCUCGCGCUUUGCACUCAUAACGACGACCUCCAAAAGUACAUUUUUUACACUCUUGACCUCGGAUCAGGUAGGGAUACCCGCUGAACUUAAGCAUA